AUUGAACGCUGGCGGCAGGCCUAACACAUGCAAGUCGAGCGGAGCGGCGGACGGGUGAGUAAUGCCUAGGAAUCUGCCCGGUAGUGGGGUACAACGUCCGGAAACGGGCGCUAAUAUCGCAUACUAGCAGAUGAGCCUAGGUCGGAUUAGCUAGUUGGUGGGGUAAAGGCCUACCAAGGCGACGAUCCGUAACUGGUCUGAGAGGAUGAUCAGUCACACUGGAACUGAGACACGGUCCAGACUCCUACGGGAGUCAGCAGUAGGGAAUAUUGGACAAUGGGCGAAAGCCUGAUCCAGCCAUGCCGCGUGUGUGAAGAAGGUCUUCGGAUUGUAAAACACUUUAAGUUGAGAUGCGUUACCAACAGAAUAAGCACCGGCUAACUUCGUGCCAGCCGCCGCGGUAAUAC
rnacentral:rRNA from 1 species